rnacentral:misc_RNA from 1 species
GAUGAAGAACGUAGCGAAAUGCGAUAAGUAAUGUGAAUUGCAGAAUUCAGUGAAUCAUCGAAUCUUUGAACGCACAUUGCGCCCAUUAGUAUUCUAGUGGGCAUGCCUGUUCGAGCGUCAUUAAGUCCACUUAAGCCCUGCUUAGUGUUGGGAGACUGCUCAAGCGGUGCUACCCUGUAGCUACCCUGCAGCUCCUCAAAGACAGCGGCGGAGUUGUGGUAUCCUCUGAGCUUAGUAACUUGUUCUAGCUUUCGAGUACACCACUUCCCCUGCCGUAAAACCCUUAAUUUUUAAUGGUUGACCUCGGAUCAGGUAGGAAUACCCGCUGAACUUAAGCAUAUCAAUAAGCGGAGGA